CACGUAGGGCGCAAGCGUUGUCCGGAAUUAUUGGGCGUAAAGAGCUCGUAGGCGGUCUGUUGCGUCCGCUGUGAAAACUCGGGGCUUAACCCCGAGCCUGCAGUGGAUACGGGCAGACUAGAGGUAGGUAGGGGAGAAUGGAAUUCCAGGUGUAGCGGUGAAAUGCGCAGAUAUCGGGAGGAACACCGGUGGCGAAGGCGGUUCUCUGGGCCUUACCUGACGCUGAGGAGCGAAAGCGUGGGGAGCGAACAGG
rnacentral:rRNA from 1 species